GCAUCCUUCCACCCCCAGGCAGCACUGUGAAGACAUCUCCCCUAAGCCUGUGGUUCCUCCAGCUGGAGAAGAAAACCCAGGGGAUAAAACUAGCAACCCCCACCCCUACUCAUUGUAGGUUUCUUUUUGGGAGCACCAACUCUGAUCUUACACCACGAAAACUGUAGGGGAAUCUGUAUGGCUCAGUCACUAGGAAUGUGUAAUGAAGAACCAGUAGGGGCUUGCACCCACCAGAACAUGGAUUGCUGCCAACCAAAUUCACAGCUGCAGAAGCCAUGUAAUAAUCCUGACUAGCAGUUUUGCUCAUCUGUGGAACAAAGUUGGGGGAGCAUUCUGACCAGGGAGCACAGGAACCCUCAAUUUCCUCUUGCUUUGGACCCACAAAUUAUGUAGAUGACUGUCAGAAGAAUAUGAUGUCCUGGAAGCCAAGUUAAGAAAGUGCUUCCAGAGGGAGGGAGUAAUCUGUCAAUUGUGUUUGAUGUUGCUGAGAACUGAAUAAGCAGCAACUGGCUAGAACUUCAACCCUGUUUCAUGAGAGCCUUAGAACUGGGUAAAAUUCACCAUCCCACAAGCCCAGCCUUGGGAUUAGAACAGUCUGCACAUUUUCCUCUAACUGAAGCUCAAGAGGAGAGUUAACUCCUUUAGCUGACUGAUGGACAUACAGAUACAGCAAUAUAUGUAACGCUUAACUAGUAGUGAUACGGUAAUGAAGAAUAUCACAAACUCUGAGUAACAAUACUGAAUCAACAUCAGUUAGCCCAAUCUGCGUACAUUAUAAAUGAAAACAAGAGCACUGUUCUACAAUAACCUCAGCUUUAUGAAAAAACUAUAAGUCUUCUGAAAAUAUAAGCUGAUGCAUGACUCGUCCCAUGAACAAGACUGUACCUGCAUUGGGGUGGAAGUGAACAAAACAGGGUGUGAACAAAAAAGUGGGAUACUUACUUUCCUUCUUACUGACAAUUAGCAGUGUUCUAAAAAUAAAAAUGUAAAUAAUUCUUUUUAGAAAAUCA